AUAGAAAUACAGAAUGCAUAGAAAAUACAAGGGUAAGAAGAGGAAUCAUGUGGAAGAAGAGUAAACAUCUGAUGGUGUCCUGGGUAGCUGAAACUGUGGAAAGCAAAACCGUGGAUAAGGGGGAACUACUAUACUGAAAAUGUACAAAACAGAGAAGAUUUCAUUGAAGAAGUCUGCUGUUUCUGGAAUGGGAAAUUAAGCACAACUGGAACAGUUAUCGACUGUGAUUCUUGCUGGGACCAAUAACCUUCUACAAAUACCAACAUCAGUUUUUAUGAAAGGCAAAGAGCUGACAGGUUUACAGACUGCACCCUAACAUUAAGCUACCAGGAGAAACUUCCAAGUUACCCUCUUGUUACUUGUGCCCCAGAGGUGAACACUAUAAACUGCUACAGCAUGCAAUUUAGGGAGAGGUUCGUGAAGAAGUGAUUGGGAAAGAGAGCAAGUCUUGGUUGGACAGUGUGUCUGUUUUCAUGCUGCUGAUAAAGACAUACCUGAGACUGGGCAAUUUACAAAAGAAAGAGAUUUCUUGGACUUACAGUUCCACAUGGCCGGGGAGGCCUCACGAUCAUGGCAGAAGGCAAGGAGGAGCAAGUCACAUCUUAUGUGGAUGGCAGCAGGCAAAGAGAGAGCGAGCUUGUGCAAGGAGACUCCCAUUUUUAAAACCAUCAGAUCUCGUGAGACUUAUUCACUAUCAGGAGAACAGCAAGCUAAAUCAGUGUGAGACCAAGGACCCUGGGGCUCCUCCAGUCAUUGCAGCUGUAUCACAACUACCCUGACAGAUUUCUUGCUCAGGGCAAGCCACCUGCCAUGUCUUGAGAACACUCAAGCAGCACAUGGCGAGGAAUGGAGAUGGACAGACAUGGGCCAGCAAGAAACAGGCUUGCCAACAACAGCUUGCGUGAUCCUGAAAGUGGGUCCUCUAGCCCCAUGUGACUGUUGCCCUGGCCAACAACUUAACUGCAACCUCAAGAGAUACCUACCCUGAGUCAGAACCACCCAGUCAAACUACCCCUGGCAUCUUAACUCAGAGCCCCGUUGACUGGAGGAUGGCCAUUUGACAACACAUUAUUUCCUGAGGAAACUUUUGACUUCUGGUGACUUGGGCCCCAGGCUGGCUGAAUUUGCCAAGACCCGGCUUUGCCCUUGCAUGUGUGAAAAAUGGCCUCAAGUAUGACCCCAUGGCAAGAUGGAAAGAAACUGUGCUCUUGAAUAGCUUAGAGAUUCAGAGCCCCCCAACCAGCUUGAAACGCCCACCUCAAAACAAUGACAUGAGAAGAAACAAACCUCUAAUUUAAGCCACUGUCUUUUUAAGAGCAUUGUAGUUUGAGAUCUCUUUCUUUCAGCUGUUUAGUCCCCAGCUAAACACUUACUGACCUUAUCUUACAGGUCAAGAAAAAUGAAGUUCUGGGGUACAAGUCACUAAUGUAUUAGAAAUUUUCCAGCUCUCCCUCCUUGCCCAGCAGAGUAUAUUUCCACUCAAACACAAUGAACCCAUUUGGAAUGGGACAAAACAAAAUGGGGUGGGCCUGGAACAAGAGAAAGUUCAGCUACACAGGAUCCAGGUCAAAACUCUUUAAUCCUCCCAUUUCUGGAUUUCAAAUGAACACCUUUUUGUCUAGCAGUUCUCCUCCAGAGGUUUGCUUUCCCACAACAGCUUGUCAACAGUGUAAGAAGUUCAAAAAGAACUUUUGGGGUUGCACGUUGCAGGUUGUGUGGCAUCAUCCCAGCUUGUCUCAACACCUCUGAUGAACAGUAGCGGAAGAAAGGACUCUUUCCACAUGAGUUCCUCGGCGGUCCCCGUCUCUUAGGGAGUUUAUAAAAAAAUCCAUCAUCUUGUUCUACUAAACCCAAGUAAAUAUAAUUAACACCAAA
ensembl:lncRNA LINC02889 long intergenic non-protein coding RNA 2889